UGAUAAAACGGGUGAGAAUCCCGUUCGCCGUAAGCCUAAGGUUUCCUGGGGAAGGUAAAUCCGCCCAGGGUUAGCCGGUGCCUAAGAUCAGGCCGAAAGGCGUAGUCGAUGGGGAGCAGGUUAAUAUUCCUGCGCUCCUCGCACAAAACGGGACGCCGGUCCAAAGUGGUGUAGGCUAAUUAGAUUGCCUCAGGGCGCUUAUGAUCCCGAUAUCCACUGCGAGCCGGCCGAGAAAACCGUGCGAGAAACCGUACUAAAACCGACACAGGUAGGCGAGAUGAAUAUUCUAAGGCGCUCGAGAGAACGCUCGUGAAGGAACUCUGCAAUUUAACUCCGUAACUUCGGGAAAAGGAGUGCCCUCGCGAGAGGGCCGCAGUGAAAAGGUUCUGGCGACUGUUUACUAAAAACACAGGUCUGUGCGAAGGCGUAAGCCGCGGUAUACAGACUGACGCCUGCCCGGUGCUGGUAAGUUAAGGGAGAGGGUUAGCCGCAAGGUGAAGCUCGCAACCGAAGCUCCAGUAAACGGCGGCCGUAACUAUGACGGUCCUAAGGUAGCGAAGUUCCUUGUCGGGUAAGUUCCGACCUGCAUGAAUGGCGUAACGACCGGAACACUGUCUCCACGAGCGACUCGGUGAAAUUGUAGUUGUCGUGAAGAUGCGACAUACCCGCAGCUAGACGGAAAGACCCCGUGAACCUUAACUGCAGCUUGGUAUUGGGUUUAGACCCAGCAUGCGUAGCGUAGGUGGGAGGCUAUGAACCGCGUAUUUCGGUACGUGGGGAGCCGGCGAUGAAACACCACCCUUGCUGUGUUUGAAUUCUAACCCGUUGCGUGUAGCAACAGGGACCGUGCUAAGUGGGCAGUUUGAUUGGGGCGAUCUCCUCCUAAAAGGUAACGGAGGAGUGCAAAGGUACCCUCAGCCCGGUUGGCAAUCGGGCAUCGAGCGUAAAGGUAUAAGGGUGCUUGACUGCGAGCCCGAUGGGGCGAGCAGGGACGAAAGUCGGCCUUAGUGAUCCGGUGGUCCCGGAUGGAAGGGCCAUCGCUCAACAGAUAAAAGGUACUCCGGGGAUAACAGGCUUAUCUCCUCUGAGCGUUCAUAGCGGCGAGGAGGUUUGGCACCUCGAUGUCGGCUCAUCACAUCCUGGGGGUGGAGAAGCUCCCAAGGGUUCGGCUGUUCGCCGAUGAAAGUGGUACGUGAGCUGGGUUUAGACCGUCGUGAGACAGGUCGGUCCCUAUCUGCUGUGGGCGGAGGAUACUUGCGGGGCUUUCUCCCUAGUACGAGAGGACUGGGAGGGACACACCUCUGAUGUUCCAGUUAUGGCGCUAGCCGUACCGCUGGGUAGUCACGUGUGGACGGGAUAAACGCUGAAGGCAUAUAAGCGUGAAACUUCCCCCUAGAUCAGGUAUCCCGCGUAAGCGAAGGCUCCUCGUAGACUACGAGGUCGAUAGGCCGGGCGUGUAAGUGUGGUAACACACUCAGCUAACCGGUACUAACAGCCGAACGCUUGGCCGC
rnacentral:rRNA from 1 species